rnacentral:rRNA from 1 species
AUACGGAGGGUGCAAGCGUUAAUCGGAAUUACUGGGCGUAAAGCGCGCGUAGGCGGUUUGAUAAGUCGGAUGUGAAAUCCCCGGGCUCAACCUGGGAAUUGCAUUCGAUACUGUCAGGCUAGAGUGUGGUAGAGGGAAGUGGAAUUUCCGGUGUAGCGGUGAAAUGCGUAGAUAUCGGAAGGAACACCAGUGGCGAAGGCGGCUUCCUGGACCAACACUGACGCUGAGGUGCGAAAGCGUGGGGAGCAAACAGGAUUAGAAACCCUGGUAGUCC